rnacentral:rRNA from 1 species
ACAUGCCUACAACAUAGAGUUAAUGCAUUGGAUCCCGUUAGAAAUAUGUAGUUAAGCGUGCUGAAGAUAGAGUAGUACUGGGAUGGGUGAUCGCCUGGGAAGUCCUAGUGUUUUACAUGCC